CAGCAGCCACGGUAAUACGUAGGGUGCAAGCGUUAAUCGGAAUUACUGGGCGUAAAGCGUGCGCAGGCGGUCCGCUAAGACAGAUGUGAAAUCCCCGGGCUUAACCUGGGAACUGCAUUUGUGACUGGCGGGCUAGAGUAUGGCAGAGGGGGGUAGAAUUCCACGUGUAGCAGUGAAAUGCGUAGAGAUGUGGAGGAAUACCGAUGGCGAAGGCAGCCCCCUGGGCCAAUACUGACGCUCAUGCACGAAAGCGUGGGGAGCAAACAGGAUUAGAUACCCGUGUAGUCCCUGUCUCUUAUAC
rnacentral:rRNA from 1 species